CCUACGGUGCGCAGCAGUCGAGAAUCAUUCACAAUGGGGGAAACCCUGAUGGUGCGACGCCGCGUGGGGGAAUGAAGGUCUUUGGAUUGUAAACCCCUGUCAUGUGGGAGCAAAUUAAAAAGAUAGUACCACAAGAGGAAGAGACGGCUAACUCUGUGCCAGCAGCCGCGGUAAUACAGAGGUCUCAAGCGUUGUUCGGAAUCACUGGGCGUAAAGCGUGCGUAGGCUGUUUCGUAAGUCGUGUGUGAAAGGCGCGGGCUCAACCCGCGGACGGCACAUGAUACUGCGAGACUAGAGUAAUGGAGGGGGAACCGGAAUUCUCGGUGUAGCAGUGAAAUGCGUAGAUAUCGAGAGGAACACUCGUGGCGAAGGCGGGUUCCUGGACAUUAACUGACGCUGAGGCACGAAGGCCAGGGGAGCGAAAGGGAUUAGAUACCCUGGUAGUC
rnacentral:rRNA from 1 species